rnacentral:rRNA from 1 species
GAACGCUGGCGGCGUGCUUAACACAUGCAAGUCGAACGGAAAGGCCCUUUCGGGGGUACUCGAGUGGCGAACGGGUGAGUAACACGUGGGUGAUCUGCCCUGCACUCUGGGAUAAGCCUGGGAAACUGGGUCUAAUACCGGAUAGGACCAUGGGAUGCAUGUUCUGUGGUGGAAAGCUUUUGCGGUGUGGGAUGGGCCCGCGGCCUAUCAGCUUGUUGGUGGGGUGAUGGCCUACCAAGGCGACGACGGGUAGCCGGCCUGAGAGGGUGUCCGGCCACACUGGGACUGAGAUACGGCCCAGACUCCUACGGGAGGCAGCAGUGGGGAAUAUUGCACAAUGGGCGCAAGCCUGAUGCAGCGACGCCGCGUGGGGGAUGACGGCCUUCGGGUUGUAAACCUCUUUCAGUAUCGGCGAAGCUCCCGGAUUUUGCUGGGGGUGACGGUAGGUACAGAAGAAGCACCGGCCAACUACGUGCCAGCAGCGGGG